UGGUGCAGAAAUAAAGCGACCACAACAAAAGUCCAUCGUGUGGACACCUUGUAAUAUGUAAGGGAUGUUCAAACGUUCCACUUCAACAAUGUCUGAAGUGUUUAAAACCUGUAACAAGCAGAGGUCGAGUUGUGUCUGAAAACCUGAA